rnacentral:lncRNA from 10 species
AUAAUUUCUGGCAAAGCAGGCUUCAAAGCAAAAGCAAUUAAAUAAGAGCAAAUAGAUUAUGUGUAUAUCAUCUACUAUUUAUAUUACUUAUGUUGAUAAAUUGGAAAAUGAGAUAAUGAAGUUACAGUAGUAAUUAGUCUCUUCAUGCACCAACUAACCUAAUAUCAAAUGAUAUAAAUUUAAAACUAUUAGAAAAGCAGAGAGAAACUGACAAGACCACAACUGGUUUGCAUGUAAUUUUAACACAGAUUUAUUUAAUUUUGAUAGUUUUCAUUAGGCAAGAAAUAAUGACAUGGACAAUUUGAGUAAAUAUAAUUAAUACUAUUAAGGCUCCUAGAAAAUGUUGGCCUCUAUAAACAGAGAAUAUGGCACCUUGAAAAGUAUUUUUAAAACCUUAACCAAAAAUUUACUGUGUUAUGCAGAUGUGUGGACAUACACACACACACACACACACACACACACACACCCCAAUAUAUUCCAAAAGUGAAAAUUG